rnacentral:rRNA from 1 species
UACGUAGGUGGCGAGUGUUAUCCGGAAUGAUUGGGCGUAAAGGGUGCGUAGGCGGCCUGCUAAGUCUGGAGUGAAAGGUACCGGCUCAACCGGUACAGGCUCUGGAAACUGGCGGGCUAGAGAGCAGGAGAGGGCGGUGGAACUCCAUGUGUAGCGGUAAAAUGCGUAGAUAUAUGGAAGAACACCAGUGGCGAAGGCGGCCGCCUGGCCUGUUGGUACUGACGCUGAGGCACGAAAGCGUGGGGAGCAAAUAGG